GCCUUUUUAGUUUCAUAAAAAAAAAACAUUAGUCUUGUAAGCUAAAGAAAUAUUCAUUACU
rnacentral:tRNA from 1 species